rnacentral:tRNA from 1 species
GGCUUCGUAGCCCAGCUGGUAGAGCACUCUCGGUACUAAAGCGACGGUGGUCACCAUGCGCGGGUUCAAAUCCCGCCGGGGCCA